ACGGGCGUCGUUCAAUGGCAGGACCUCGGUCUCCAAAACCGACGACGAGGGUUCGAUUCCUUCCGCCCGUG
rnacentral:tRNA from 1 species